rnacentral:rRNA from 1 species
UCUCAGUUCGGAUUGCAGGCUGCAACUCGCCUGCAUGAAGUCGGAAUUGCUAGUAAUCGCGGAUCAGCAUGCCGCGGUGAAUACGUUCCCGGGCCUUGUACACACCGCCCGUCACACCAUGAGAGCCGGUAACACCCGAAGUCAGUAGUCUAACCGCAAGGGGACGCUGCCGAAGGUGGGGCUGGUGAUUGGGGUGAAGUCGUAACAAGGUAUC